rnacentral:lncRNA from 1 species
UCGGAGUUUCUUUUCAAAAUAACUAAAUACAAUACACCAUAUGGCGACAAGAUCCUCCAUCAACAAAGUUGACUGGGAGACGACGGCCUAGAUCUCUCCGAACUCAUCUUCAUGAUUCUCCUCCGGUGGUACCUGUUCUUAACCUGGGAGUGAUUAUAGCAAGGGUGAGCUCCCAUACGGUCAUCGCUCAACAAGUGUGGGGAAUAAUGUGUAUGAGCUCACUUACGGUGGGGGCUCAUGUGUAGUGUAAGGCUGAUCAACAAAUAAUGGUUAAGGCUGAGCAUUGCUUUUAAUAAGUUGGUCAAAAUUUUAUUAGCAGUUACUAAGUAUAAGUGUAUACCAUCCUAAUAAAAUAAGAGAUCACAAUUGAUAAAUAAACCCACAAUGCAAUGCAUAUGACAGAUUAAGUUUAAUUCCAUAAGUUAAUCAUACGAGAGUCCUGAGCCGCUCUUGACCGUAUACCAGUUUUACACUCUGCAGAGGUUGCGCAUCUUUACCCACAAGACGUGUUUCCCGUGUAGCCAAGGUUAGCUAGACCCUUAGACACUGCCAAGGUGAAUGGCUAGGGAUCCACUGCGAGGCCUUUACAAAGUUCCACUAGCUUGAGAGAACCCGCUACGGUUUCAGGCAGAGGGGGGUAUAGGAAUCCCUCGUCCGAACAGCUAUCACAGACAGUUCGACCCGAGAACCUCCCUAUACUUGCGGCAACUCCUCCCCGCUUGCCCCUUUCGGGUAAGGUAAUCUCUCACUAGCUUUCCUAAUUAGUUGGCCAAGAGCGUCCCAUUAAACCCUUGUGGUAGCACUGUUUUCUCAGGUUAAGCUCCAUGUUCCAGUUAACAAAAUGAUCUUAUCAUGUAUCAAAAAUAAUUCAUAAACAGUCAUAAGUAAUAAUAAUGCAUGAUCGUGAUUCAUAUGUAUUAUAACACCCAAAACCAGAUAGAGCACUGGCAGGACUACCCAAUAAUUCAUUUGUAUGCAAGGUGUAGGGUAAACAAAACUAGGUAACCUAUUAGGUCCCAUCAGCUUAACCUAACUGUGCCACAGUGAUUAACAAAACAUUAUUAGGUAAAAGUAUGUGAUUAAGGACACAACUUGCCUUUUUGGUGCAACUCCAGGUACUUCUCCAAGUUGAGCUUCAGGUUCCCGUAACCUCGCUUCUAUUCGCAGCAAAACAUAUAAAUAGGCAACCAAUAAAUAAAAAUAACAUUACACCAAUCAUGAAUAACAGCUGGGUGAAGAUCGCUCGCAUGGCGCCCUACAGACAGGGCUACAUGCCCCACUGCAGUUGCCGAUGCCCGUCCUGACCGCCGCCCGCCCGCGAUGACGCGCUCCCAUCUGUUGUGGCGGCUGCCCGAUCUCCUAUUGCUGUCCCGUCACGUCCGUUUCCUUCCUGCUGGCUGUGAUCUUGUCAUCGAUCUCCUUCCUGUGGCUGACUCUCUCUCUUUUUUUAGCUAGCGCUGAUCCCCGUAGAU